rnacentral:lncRNA from 1 species
UUAUAAUAAACAUCUUAUUUCAUUUAAAUCUUUAUAAUACAUUCUUGAAAGAUUUUUGAGUUUUUAAGGAUGUCAUUUAGCCAGGGAAAAUUAUUCUUCAAGUCGCCUUUUAUUCAUACUUGAUGAGGUAGUUUUCAGUAUUGUUUAGUUGUACCUGUAUAUUUUCCAGACAAGGAUGAUUCAGGGCUUGUGAUAUUGGAACUGCCUGGUAUAUUAUUCAACACUGUAUGUACUAAAUCACUUCUAGAUGUCUUUAGCUUUUUGUGUAUUUGCUUGCUUUCAGUGUCUCAUUAAUGUAUAAACCACAUCUCAUUUUUUAUUUCAGCAAUUCAAGACUAAAUCAUUAACCCAUCAUCAAUUGUUAUGAUUAAAUUUUUCAAAGUUUAUAAGAUCUAACCAAACAACCAUGCCUAUUUUUAGAGC